rnacentral:rRNA from 1 species
GACGAACGCUGGCGGCGUGCUUAAAACAUGCAAGUCGAACGGGAGCUUCGGCUCCAGUGGCAGACGGGUGAGUAACGCGUGGGAACCUUCCCAGUGGUACGGAAUAGCUCAGGGAAACCUGGGGUAAUACCGUAUACGCCCUUCGGGGGAAAGAUUUAUCGCCAUUGGAUGGGCCCGCGUCGGAUUAGCUAGUUGGUGGGGUAAUGGCCCACCAAGGCGACGAUCCGUAGCUGGUCUGAGAGGAUGAUCAGCCACACUGGGACUGAGACACGGCCCAGACUCCUACGGGAGGCAGCAGUGGGGAAUAUUGGACAAUGGGCGCAAGCCUGAUCCAGCCAUGCCGCGUGAGUGACGAAGGCCUUAGGGUUGUAAAGCUCUUUUGGCGGGGAAGACAAUGACGGUACCCGCAGAAUAAGCUCCGGCUAACUUCGUGCCAGCCGCCGCAGUAAUAC